CAGUAGCUCAGUUGGUUAGAGCGCCAGCCUGUCACGCUGGAGGUCGACGGUUCGAGCCCGUUCU
rnacentral:tRNA from 2 species